CGCUGUCGUCAGUGCUAGGAACCUGCGCCCGGCUGAGCUGAGCGAGGCGAGAGGAGAAAGCGAGGCCCGGGGACGGGACUGAGAGCUCUGAAAGGAGGGAGGCGGCUCCCGAGUACUCCGCGCGGGGCAGGCCCCGGCCUCGCCUCUUCGCCCAUUUUUAAGGCUCGAGUUAGAGGCCACCUCCUCCGAGAAGCCUUCGGUGACACCACCUCUCCCAGACGGUUCCCCUUUCUGAUUCCCACAGCAUUUUCCAACCAUUCACGGUCAGAACCACUCACCAGGACGUGUUGUCACCAUUUUACCGCUUUGCCUCGUCUCUUAACUAGACGAAAUGGGUUCCUUUUGGCUCUUUGGAAAGGGAGGCUGUCUUCUAUUUAUUUCCGUGGUAAUCCCACCUCCCACAACAAGUUCCAUUCUACAGCAAUGUCUUUUCUCUUGCUGAGAACCAUUCAAGUCUAAGUUUUCUGGGACCGCCACCAUCACAGGCACUCGGUAGAUGUCUGCUGAAUGAGGAUAACUUCUACCCAACACCGUGAAGCCUGGCCCAGGGUCUGGCAUACAGAUGCCGUGUUUGUAAGAUGUCCAGCCACCACCUCAAUGUCAGCCGAAGCCCAGUGUCUCUCCAAAGCUCUUGAUCUCCAUUUCUGUCAGCGAUACCAUCAUUUCCCAGUCACUCCGUCCAGAAAGUCCUGGUUGCUCAUCUCGCCCACUUGCACAGCCCACCUGUGUGGCCGACUCAGGAUUGACCCACCUGCUCUCUUCAGGCCAUAUUCCCACGCAGAAGUGGGUCCCACUCCUCAGGCCUCUGUGCUGGCCCCGUCUGUGGGGUUAGCAAGCAGCCCUGCUCUCCAUUUCCAGCUCAGAAGCAACUGGAUCGUUACCUCAUUGGUGACAACUUGACUGUGCUGCCCAGAGCUGAUAAGAAACAUCACCCGGGGAAGACCAGCUGCCUCUUCCUUGCUUCCUAAUCAGGGUGGAAAUACUGCUAAAUAUAUCACAACUCUUUGCAAGCAUCGUUGGGUAAUGAUCGGGACAUCUUUGUGGGUUCCCUAUCAUUUUCUCACAAAGUUGAGCCUUUCAAGGUCAGUUCUAGGCCAGCCAGUCUGGGAGUCAUUCUUUAGAAUCAGAAGAGAAUUUAAGAAGAGGAGAAGAUAAGAUUGUCUCUAAAACCUGCUAAUGAGAACUACAGGAAGGUGGGGAUGCUAGCUACUUUUAAUAUUUCUGGUUUGAACCCCUUCCUCCACCCCAGAAUGAACUGAGAGUAGGUACAGAAAUAGAUAAUGCAAAGACGGUUAGGGUUGAGGGUAAGCAGAAAACUACCCAUCUAGACCGAAGGAAGGCUUGCUAACAUAUCAGUAAGCAAACAGCUUUCUAAUCUGCAGGUAACAAGUUUUACAUCCCUGAGGACACUUUUUGAGAUAGGACUUUGUUUGUUUGUUUGUUUGUUGUUUUUUGUUUUUUUGAGACAGAGUCUCGCUCUGUCUCCCAGGCUGGAGUGCAGUGGCAUGGUCUCGGCUCACUGCAACCUUCACCUCCCAGGAUCAAACGAUUCUCCUGCCUCAGCCUCCUGAAUAGCUGGGAUUACAGGUGCAUGCCACCAUGUCCAGCUAUUUUUGUGUGUGUGUGUGUGUGUGUGUGUGUGUGUGUAUUUUUAGUAGAGAUGGGGUUUCAUCAUGUUGGUCAGGCUGGUCUGAAACUCCUGACCUCGUGAUCUGCCCUCCUCAGCCUCCCAAAGUGCUGGGAUUAUAGGCGUGAGCCACCGGGCCCAGCCUGGGGCUUUUUGAGACCCUAUUGAAGGCUGAGGAAGAAUCUGGAAGCUAAAGAGUAACCCAUUCCACCACCUGCUCUGAAGAUAGAAGAAGCAAAAAAAGAUUAAAUUGUACAAAAAGCACUUAAAUUAGACAACAGAAGAAUUUCCUGAUACAAAGUGGGUGUCUAAGAUGUGUUAAACAAGAUGCCUGCUCCAGCCAGGACUCAGACACUCCUGGAUGGAGAGCAUCUUCACAGUUUGGGAUAAAAGUGACUAUACAGAGUGGUGGAGUGAAGGCUGCAGGCCCCUCCCCAAGGUGGCAUCUAACCCCGGAGGUAUCAGGACCUCAGAGGCUACCCACAUGAUUUCCAGCUGAUGAGCAGAAAUAGCUGUGGCAGGUGCAGGCUUCACUUGCUGCCACCAACAUGGGAGCUCACCAAACACCCAGUGGCCAAAAGAACCAGGGUCUCUCUAAGCCCUGGGCUCACCGCCAGGCAAGCUUGGGUGCUUGGGAGGGCCGUCGUUCUUCACAGUGCAGCCCCUGGAUUUCUUCUCAAUUUACUCAACUCUCUCUCUUGAAUCCCAUCUGUGCAGCUUAGAAGUCACAAAUUAGAACCCCCCAAGGCAAAGCUGACCAUAGAUACAAAUGGUUUUGUCUGUAUAGUGUUUAAGCACUUAAAAAAUUCAUUGUGAACAUUUAAUAAUUAGAAAGUGUCAAAAUGAAAAUAUCUAUAGUUUCUCUCUAAAAACCAGAAGAUCUGUUAACACUGAUCCCACACUUCUAUUUGGCAAUGACUGGCCCCUAAGACAGGGGGUAUGUCCUCUAGCUCACCACAGUCUCCACCUUUACCUACUGCAUCCCUGCUGAGACAAAGUGGUACAUGCCAUUUAUUAAGGAUGAAUGCUGUUUUUUUUAAUUAUACUUAAUCCUCAUUUGCAUUACCUGCCUUCAUUCUGGAGGUAUUUGAGUUUGCAUCUCCUGAUAAAGAAUAAA
rnacentral:lncRNA from 1 species